rnacentral:rRNA from 1 species
UACGGAGGGUGCAAGCGUUAUCCGGAUUCACUGGGCUUAAAGGGUGUGUAGGCGGGCUGUUAAGUCAGUGGUGAAAUCUCCGGGCUCAACCCGGAAACUGCCAUUGAUACUAUCAGUCUUGAAUUCUGUUGAGGUGUGCGGAAUAUGUCAUGUAGCGGUGAAAUGCAUAGAUAUGACAUAGAACACCAAUUGCGAAGGCAGCUCACUAAGCAGCGAUUGACGCUGAGGCACGAAAGCGUGGGGAUCAAACAGG